GCCCUUGUAGUGUAGCUUGGAUAACACUCUGGCCUGCGGAGCCGGUACCCCAGGUUCAAAUCCUGGCAGGGGCGCCA
rnacentral:tRNA from 1 species